CAAUAGCGUAUAUUAAAGUUGUUGCAGUUAAAAAGCUCGUAGUUGGAUUUCGGGGCAGCCUGGCUGGUCCGCCGCAAGGCGAGUACUGGUCAGCCGCCAUUCCUCUCGAAAGCCCCGACUGCUCUUCGUUGCAGUGGUCGGGUAGUUCGGGACGUUUACUUUGAAAAAAUUAGAGUGUUCAAGGCAGGCCUACGCCUGAAUACAUUAGCAUGGAAUAAUGGAAGAGGACCUCGGUCCUAUUUUGUUGGUUUCCAGGGCCGAAGUAAUGAUUAAGAGGGACAGUUGGGGGCAUUCGUAUUUAAUUGUCAGAGGUGAAAUUCUCGGAUUUAUGAAAGACGAACAACUGCGAAAGCAUUUGCCAAGGAUGUUUUCAUUAA
rnacentral:rRNA from 1 species